CUGUUUUUGGUGACCAUGGCUUAGUGGCUUACUGCCAAAAUCCUGAAUAUGAAUUGGUCUACGAAUGGAUCCGUACUAUUGUAGCGUGGAGGGUCGUAUUUGUCAGGCAGAAUAUGUGAAUGACCGGUUCCUUUUUCAUGGGCUCUGUAGAGAGCCUAAGUUAGACCAUCCAUGCUACAGUAGUGCGGGAUCCAUUCGUACAUCAAUUCGGUCGAUAAUAUGUGGGGUGGUCGAUUACACAGAGACGAGGUACGUGUAUUAUAUAUGAUUAAAGGUAAUAUGUGAGGUGGUCGAUUACACAGAGUUCAGAGACGAGAAUUACAGAAUACAAAAACGAGCUUCGUUCUCUGGGAGUAAUUGUUGAUGUCAGAAAUGGCUGUUCUUUGCUUGAAGAUUACCUUGAUUUAUUGGGAGCACGAUUGCAUGUUCUGGAGAAGCACUAUAAUCCAUGACUAUUGUGAGAUUUGGAAGUCAUGCUUCUGGCCACCAACUAACUCAUGAGGAGGCUUGUGCCUUCUGGGAGUUUGUCAUAAAGAACUGGAGCUCGAGGACUGGAGAAAUUUUGGCUCAACGGUUGUUGAAAUUGCCUGUAUAUUCAGGUUCAAGUUCAAUUAAUCUGGUGAAUAAACACGACGUAUUCAUUGCUGAUGAUCUGCAGCUGAAGGAUCUUUUUGAAAGGUCUUCUUUAGGUUAACUAUUUGUUUGGUAUCCCCAACCGAGCAUGAAGUCUCUUCCCAGAACUAAGUUGCUAGAAAUUUAUAGCAAAAUAGGUGUUAGAAAUAUCUCUGGAUCUGUACAGCAAGAGCUCUCUGAAGUUGAUGCUGUCAAUCUGAAGCAGCUGAAACCGAAGGAAGUCUCUGAGGUGUUAGUCUUUUAUACUGAUUUUUCUUGUGUCCAAGUAUUUGAGAUCCUUAAAGCUGAUUAGAUAGAUUAUUCACAGUUCUGCACUUACAUGUAGUCAUUUUGAAGAACAUCAAUCAUUGAUGCCAUGUAAAUAGAAGGGUCUCGUCGUUAUGGAUUAGUUAA